GGAUGCGAUCAUACCAGCACUAAAGCACCGGAUCCCAUUAGAACUCCGAAGUUAAUAGUGCUUGGGCGAGAGUAGUACUAGGAUGGGUGACCUCCUGGGAAGUCCUCGUGUUGCAUUCC
rnacentral:rRNA from 1 species